UACGUAGGGUGCAAGCGUUGUCCGGAAUUAUUGGGCGUAAAGAGCUUGUAGGCGGUUUGUCGCGUCUGCUGUGAAAAUCCGGGGCUCAACCCCGGACUUGCAGUGGGUACGGGCAGACUAGAGUGUGGUAGGGGAGACUGGAAUUCCUGGUGUAGCGGUGAAAUGCGCAGAUAUCAGGAGGAACACCGAUGGCGAAGGCAGGUCUCUGGGCCACUACUGACGCUGAGAAGCGAAAGCAUGGGGAGCGAACAGGAUUAGAUACCCGGUA
rnacentral:rRNA from 1 species